GUUAGGGUUAGGGUUAGGGUUAGGGUUAGGGGUUAGGGUUAGGGUUAGGGGUUAGGGUUAGGGUUAGGGUUAGGGUUAGGUUUAGGGAUAGGGUUAGGGUUAGGGUUAGGUCCCAGGAGGCUCCAGGCGCCCAACCCACAGCAGGGCAGUGGUCUCCCCGAAGGCCUGAGUUGAGGGCACAAGGGACUGUGUCGGUCAGGAUCCGUCUUUGGCUGCCAAGGCCACAGACGUCGAUUGGCCCCUGUUCGAGGAGGCCUCCGGAAUCCUCUCGGCAGCUGCAGCCGGGCCAGGGAAAUGACAUGGUGAGCUUCCAGGUUCCAUGCCGAGUCAGCCUGCACCGCUUCUGGACACCAGGCACCUGGUGUUCUCAGAUGUUGGAAUUGGGUCCCCAUGGGGAGGGAGCCUUAGAUAGGGUUAGGGUUUGGCCCAGGGAUGUCGCCAGAGCUGAAGCGACUCCGGUCUCGGAUAUCCCUAGAGGUCUGAAGUGAGGGCCCAUGCCAGAAGGCAGCACAAUUGCAGGGUUAGGGUUAGAGGCAGGCUUAGGUUGUGGUGGAGGGUCCCGGUUCGGGGUACGGUUAGGGUUAGGGUUAGGUCCCAGGAGGCUCCAGGCGCCGAACCCACAGCAGGGCAGUGGUGUCCCCGAAGGGCUGAGUUGAGGGCACAAGGGACGGUGCCUGUCAGCAUCCGUCUUUGCCUGCCAAGGCUCUACACGUCGAUUGGCCCCUGUUGGAGGAGGCCUCCUGAAUCCCCUCGGGCAACUGCAACCGGUCUUGGGAAACGACAUGGUGAGCUUCCAGAUUCAAUGCUGAGUCAGCCUGCACCACUUCUGCACCCCAGGCGCCUGGUGUUCUCAGACGUUAGAAUUGGGUCCCCAUGGGAGGGAGCCUUAGCUAGGGUUAGGGUUCGGUCCAGGGACGUCGCCCGGGCCGAAGCGACUCUGGUCUCGUGAUCUCCCUUGAGUGCUGAAGUGAGGGCCCAUGCGACAUUUCGGCUCAUGUGAAGGGUUAGGGUUCGAUGUAGGCUUAGGUUUCGGUGGAGGGUCCCCGUUCGGUGUGGGGUUAGGGUUAGGGUUAUGUCCCAGGAGGCUACAGGCGCCCAACCCACAGCAGGGCAGUGGUCUCCCCGAAGGCCUGAGUUGAGGGCACAAGGGACCGUGCCGGUCAGGAUCCGUCUUUGGCUGCCAAGGCCACAGACGUCGAUCGGCCCCUGUUCGACGAGGCCUCCGGAAUCCUCUCGGUCAGCUGCAGACGGGGCUGGGAAACCACAUGGUGAGCUUGCAGCUUCCAUGCCGAGUCAGCCUGCAUCGCCUCUGGACCCCAGGCGCGUGGUCUUGUCAGACUUUGGCAUGGGGUCCCCAUGGGCAGGGAGCCUUAGCUAGGGUUAGGGUUUGGUCCAGGGACGUCGCCAGGGCCGAAUCGACUCCGGCCUCGUGAUCUCCCUCGAGGGCUGAAGUGAGGGCCCAUGCCAGAAGGCGGCUCCAUUGCAGGGUUAGGGUUCGAGGCAGGCUUAGGUUGCGGUGGAGGGUCCCGGUUCGGGGUCCGGUUAGGGUUAGGGUUAGGUCCCAGGAGGCUCCAGGCGCCCAACCCACAGCAGGGCAGUGGUCUCCCCGAAGGCCUGAGUUGAGGGCACAGGGGAGGCUGCCGGUCAGGAUCCGUCUUUGGCUGCCAAGGCCACACACGUGAUUGGGCCGGCGGUCGAGGAGGCCUCCGGAAUCCUCUCGGCAGCUGCAGCCGGGCCCGGGAAACCCCAUGGUGAGCUUCCAGGUUCCAUGCCGAGUCAGCCUGCACCUCUUCCGGACCCCAGGCGCGUGGUGUUGUCCCACGUUGGCAUUGGGUCCUCUUGGGGAGAGAGCCUUAGCUAGGGUUAGGGUUCGGUCCAGGGACGUCGCC